UGGCACCGUCCGCGGGGAUGCGCACACGGUCUUCAAUGCCGUGCUGGUCGACGUAUGCCUUCAGUUCGUCACGGGUCAGUGCCAU
rnacentral:tRNA from 1 species